rnacentral:rRNA from 1 species
CCCUAUGGGGUGCAGCAGGCGCGAAACCUCCGCAAUGCACGAAAGUGCGACGGGGUUACCCAAAGUGUUCAUUUAUGAACUGUGGUAGGCGAGUAAUGUCCCCUACUAGAAAGGAGAGGGCAAGGCUGGUGCCAGCCGCCGCGGUAAAACCAGCUCUUCAAGUGGUCGGGAUAUUUAUUGGGCUUAAAGUGUCCGUAGCCGGUUUAGCAAGUUCCUGGUAAAAUCGGGUAGCUUAACUACCUGUAUGCUAGGAAUACUGUUAUACUAGAGGGCGGGAGAGGUCUGAGGUACUACAGGGGUAGGGGUGAAAUCUUAUAAUCCUUGUAGGACCACCAGUGGCGAAGGCGUCAGACUGGAACGCACCUGACGGUGAGGGACGAAAGCCAGGGGAGCGAACCGGAUUAGAUACCCGGGUAGUCCUGGCCGUAAACGAUGCAUACUAGGUGAUGGCAAGGCCAUGAGCCGUGUCAGUGCCGUAGGGAAACCGUUAAGUGUGCCGCCUGGGAAGUACGGUCGCAAGGCUAAAACUUAAAGGAAUUGGCGGGGGAGCACCACAAGGGGUGAAGCCUGCGGUUCAAUUGGACUCAACGCCGGGAAACUUACCAGGGGAGACAGCAGAAUGAUGGUCAGGUUGACGACCUUACCUAACGAGCUGAGAAGAGGUGCAUGGCCAA